UAGCUCGGGUUUCUCUUCAUUCACGCCCCAAUUUUUUUGUCUUUUACUAAAGAUUUCUGUGGAGGGGAUCGUUGAUGAGUUCUUCGUAUUUUUGAAGGCUCUGCUUUCGCAGAGCU